rnacentral:rRNA from 1 species
GAGAUUUGGGAGUGCUCGAAAGAGACCUGCACGCAGGUGCUGCAUGGCUGUCGUCAGCUCGUGUCGUGAGAUGUUGGGUUAAGUCCCGCAACGAGCGCAACCCUUGCCAUUAGUUGCUACGAAAGGGCACUCUAAUGGGACUGCCGGUGACAAACCGGAGGAAGGUGGGGAUGACGUCAAGUCCUCAUGGCCCUUAUAGGUGGGGCUACACACGUCAUACAAUGGCCGGUACAGAGGGUAGCCAACCCGCGAGGGGGAGCCAAUCCCACAAAGCCGGUCGUAGUCCGGAUCGCAGUCUGCAACUCGACUGCGUGAAGUCGGAAUCGCUAGUAAUCGCGGAUCAGCAUGUCGCGGUGAAUACGUUCCCGGGUCUU